rnacentral:rRNA from 1 species
AUGGCGCCGCCGACCAUCCAAAAAGUCAAAGAUGGCGUCGGCAUUUACUUAUUAUGUUCUCUUCUAAUAGUGAUCCCUUGGUAUUCAGGUUGUAAAAUCCUGAUAGGAAAGUCGACUAUUAUACCUUGUUUUUGUAAUGGCCUAUCAUCUUUAAAAAUCCGAAAGAUAAGGAUUUCACAAAACUUUUGCAUUCCUUUUUCUUUGAAAAGAAAACCUUGCCAUUUUGGGCCGCUGUUACCAUUUCCAUUUCCUGAACCUAAACCUAACUAA